UUUUUUUUGAUUCUAGAAAUUGAUGGUUCUGUUGUCAUGUUAGAAUAGAGUUAGUUUUGCAUUUGUGCUCCUCAUUUUGUCAAUGGUUUUUUGGCUUUCGUCUAUUAUUUGCUCGAGAAUUUCAAGGUUACCAAUCACCGUUAAUUUUGCAGAAAUGUUAGCGAUUUAUAAGUAUGCUGGCUGUUAACACUAUUCAGCCAAGAGACACUGUGUGCUUCUGCCCAACAGCCGCAAACAUGGUGGAAGAUUGGCGCUGUCACUUUCCUUUUGGUAUUAGUGAUCUAUCUUAAGGUUUGCAACCAGGACAAUGGAUGCGUGGUGGCCGCUGCUCUCUACGGCCAUCCCAACAAACAUACUGCAGAUGUGGAAGGUUAGAAUCUAAAGUUAGUUUUUUCUCUUCCCAAAAUUUAUAAAUUCUGAAUUAAAUGUGAGUGUGAUCUCACAAAAACUGCAUGUACUUUCGUGAGAGGUCAGGAUAUCUACACAGCUGACUGGUUAGAAAACGUGGCUAGAAGAAUCAAAGGUCAGUGAUUUUAUAUGUGCCUGCUACUUAGAUUUUGCACGAUCUCAUAAAAGCUUCAUGUACUUCAUUGAGAUGUCAAGAUAUCUUGCCAGCUGACUGGUUAGAAAACGUGGCUCCAUUUUGUACUGCGGUCACUUAGCCUGCAAUAACAUGGAAAAGCCUCACUCCUCUUCCAAGGAGUGGCGUCUGUCCUUCUGUUAUGUUGCUAUGGUGCUGGUAAUACCGAAAAAGGGUUUCUCCUUACUUUAUAUUAUAAAGAAACCGUCACUAUGGUGCUGGUAAAAUGUCCUAAAAUAAAUUAGCGGGGUUGUUCUAUUAGACACAUGUCCUUUCUGCAGUUUGAAAUUUACUGGCUUCCUAUCUUUUGAUCUUGAAGUACCUACGAAUCAAGAAUUUUGAUUUGCAUGCCACAUCAACGGGACUAAUACAGCUCACAAUAUUGAUUUCAUGUAAUUCUCACCUGGAAAUUACACAUGCUGGGAGCAUACACGUACACUAUCGUUCUUUGAUGCACUAACUUUAGUGAAUGCAGUCAUCGUGUUACAUUAGGCAUGUCUUUCACACUUAGCUAUUCAAGUUUUGUCCAAAUUUUAUUUCAAAUAGCUGUUCAAAUCUUUUGUGCAUCUGAGUUAAUAUGCCCAUUAUCUUUGAGGUUGUCCUAUAUUAUUAUUCAGUUUUUGUCUCACAUAUGUCAGUUUUUUGUACUAUCAAUUGUGUAGAAUGGCUGAUGACUAUUUGCAAGCCUCUUAUAUAGGGGCAAAUUAGGAAACUAAAUUUUAUUUAUCUAUUUUUUGGGAGGGCUUCUGUGAUUUUUGAGGUGUCGACGUGUCUAACCCCGUCAUACUAUUUGUUUCUGUAAUGUUUGUGCAGUGAGAGACUGCUAUGUAUGCUAACUACAACUCCAAUCUGAGGUAUGCUAACUACAACUCCAAUCCGAGGUAAUGCAGGGAGAGACUUGCUGCUACUACUAUGGUUUGCCGGUAAUUAGGAGUAUUUGUAUUAUUUAAUGCCAGAAUGUAAGUAGGAGUAUUUGUAUUAUUCAGUACUAGUAUCCAGUGUGAAGAAAUUCUACUCAGUGUUUGUCUACUACUAUGGUUUGCUGGUAAUUAAAGAUCUAUCUAGGUACUUUCUGCGUGGGUCAUGCAUGCUCUGUACUUUCUUUGUUAGUAUUACCAAAUCCAUUAUUCAUAACAGCCCCCUCAUAGGCAACUUAUGCCUUUUUUGUAUUACUACACACUCAUUUACACAUGUUUGAUGUUUCCAUCCAGUGAACCGAAAGAGCACACAAGAAAAAGCGCUCGCCCAAUCAAACAACACAAGUCUAUAUUGUAGGUUUCUCUCGUGAUGAUGCCAGCGCCUCUACUGCAUCCGCCAAUAUUUCAAUCGCAUGUGUAGGAGGAGAAGGCUUGACGCGCCGUCGGCACUGACUCUAGCGCCCAUGGAUCCGGCUACCUGC
rnacentral:lncRNA from 1 species